AACGAACGCUGGCGGCAUGCCUAACACAUGCAAGUCGAACGAGACCUUCGGGUCUAGUGGCGCACGGGUGCGUAACGCGUGGGAACCUGCCCUUAGGUUCGGAAUAACUCCCCGAAAGGGGUGCUAAUACCGGAUAAUGUCUUCGGACCAAAGAUUUAUCGCCUUUGGAUGGGCCCGCGUUGGAUUAGCUAGUUGGUAGGGUAAAAGCCUACCAAGGCGACGAUCCAUAGAUGGUCUGAGAGGGUGAUCAGCCACACUGGGACUGAGACACGGCCCAGACUCCUACGGGAGGCAGCAGUGGGGAAUAUUGAACAAUGGGCGAAAGCCUGAUCCAGCAAUGCCGCGUGAGUGAUGAAGGCCUUAGGGUUGUAAAGCUCUUUUACCCGGGAUGAUAAUGACAGUACCGGGAGAAUAAGCUCCGGCUAACUCCGUG
rnacentral:rRNA from 1 species